UGGGGAAUAUCGGACAAUGGGCGAAAGCCUGAUCCAGCCAUGCCGCGUGUGUGAAGAAGGUCUUCGGAUUGUAAAGCACUUUAAGUUGGGAGGAAGGGCAGUAAGCGAAUACCUUGCUGUUUUGACGUUACCGACAGAAUAAGCACCGGCUAACUCUGUGCCAGCAGCCGCGGUAAUACAGAGGGUGCAAGCGUUAAUCGGAAUUACUGGGCGUAAAGCGCGCGUAGGUGGUUCGUUAAGUUGAAUGUGAAAGCCCCGGGCUCAACCUGGGAACUGCAUCCAAAACUGGCGAGCUAGAGUAGGGCAGAGGGUGGUGGAAUUUCCUGUGUAGCGGUGAAAUGCGUAGAUAUAGGAAGGAACACCAGUGGCGAAGGCGACCACCUGGGCUCAUACUGACACUGAGGUGCGAAAGCGUGGGGAGCAAACAGG
rnacentral:rRNA from 1 species